AUUGAACGCUGGCGGCAGGCCUAACACAUGCAAGUCGAACGGUAACAGGAAGAAGCUUGCUUCUUUGCUGACGAGUGGCGGACGGGUGAGUAAUGUCUGGGAAACUGCCUGAUGGAGGGGGAUAACUACUGGAAACGGUAGCUAAUACCGCAUAACGUCGCAAGACCAAAGAGGGGGACCUUCGGGCCUCUUGCCAUCGGAUGUGCCCAGAUGGGAUUAGCUAGUAGGUGGGGUAACGGCUCACCUAGGCGACGAUCCCUAGCUGGUCUGAGAGGAUGACCAGCCACACUGGAACUGAGACACGGUCCAGACUCCUACGGGAGGCAGCUGUGGGGAAUAUUGCACAAUGGGCGCAAGCCUGAUGCAGCCAUGCCGCGUGUAUGAAGAAGGCCUUCGGGUUGUAAAGUACUUUCAGCGGGGAGGAAGGGAGUAAAGUUAAUACCUUUACUCAUUGACGUUACCCGCAGAAGAAGCACCGGCUAACUCCGUG
rnacentral:rRNA from 1 species